rnacentral:lncRNA from 1 species
CUUUGAAAUGAAUAGAAUGGUCUUAUUAAGAGUUUCCUAGUCCUUUUCUUUUGUAGCUUGCCUGAGAAGAGGUUAGACAUUCAGUCCACAAAGCCAGGCUUCUCUCCGACCUUCCCCUAUACAUUUCCGAAGACAGAGAAGAGGAAAAAGGAGGUAGAGUCUGGUAUGAGGGCACCAGGGAACAUUUCCUUACUUCACAAUUUGGUGAACUGAGUAGAACUGCCUGACAUCACACAGAGGGUAAACUUCUGCCUAGGGCCAUGGAAAAAGGCAAGAAGGUCCCGUGACCAAGAAAUGACCAGCUCCACAGAGGAAAUGCAGGGCCACUCUCCGACUGGACCCCACUGUGCACAAGCCUGCUCAAUGUGAAGAUGACGAGGAUGAAAACCUUUAUGAUGAUCUACUCCUAUUUAUGGGAAUAUCACUGAGGCUCAGAGAGGUAAAAUUAAUUUGGCUGAAGUCAAACUGAACAAUGAGGGCACUGUGGCUCAAACUCACAUCACUGGAAUUCCAAGUAUAUGUACCUGACGUUACAUAAUAUUGUCUCUGUGGAAUGCUUUGAGGAAAGGAACCUAAGAUUUUGGAACUCUGAGACUAUGCUGAAUCUGCUAAAAUUUUGAGAUGCUCUCUGUUCUGGAGGUGACACGGGGUGACAGUGGUGCUCCAUAUUCCUGAAGACACCUGGAAAUAUUGUGGGACGUGCCCUGAGUUGACAUCAGGCAGGUCCUACCUUCCUGAUUGGCCCCUGUUGGUGCUUGAAGAGCCCACUGAAACAACAGACUGAGCAAAGACUUUUAAACGCUGCACGUGGAAUCUACCUCAAAGAAUAUCUAGUUCAAACUGGUCAUUUUGCAGAUGAGAAAACUGAGGUCCAGGACCAUGAAGAGUUAACAGAGGAUUAACACUAAGGCUCUGUCCCCUGAUUUCCAUCCCAGUGGUCUCUUUCCAGCACACAGGCUGUGCCACAGAUUUUAUAGGCAUCUGGAAUUUUGCUGGCAGGGUUACUUCUAAGAAAUCUUUCGGUGGAAUCUCUUUAAGUGGCCCCUGGAAUGUAAGCACUAUGGGCAGUCUGUAGUGACCCAGAGCUCCAAAACAGAGUUUCUAAACAGGCAUGGCAGCAAAUCCCAGCAACAUCAGGCAGAUGCUUUAGACAUUUAAGGAUCUGCAGAUACUGCAGAAUCCCUCAGUUGUGUGGUCAGCACAUUACAACUCACAUAACUGUAAAAUUUUGCUGCAAUAAAAAUUAUUUUUAUAAUAAAAAACAUACUGUUAUAAAAGUAUUACCACUGGUAAUAGCACCUGUUUUGACAUCACUUUAUAAAGACUUUUCCUGUAAUUAUUUCAUCUUGUCUUCACAAAACCUGUGAUGUCGUAUGAGCAUACCUAUUUCCAUAAAAGGAAACUGAGGCUCAAAGGGAUUAAGUGAUUUGUUUAAUGGUACUCAGUUAUUAGGCAGCAGAACAGGAACCUGAAUGCCAACUCCCCUGCUUCUAUACUUUGCUCCUACUAAUCACAAUCCCUCUUGAUAUGAGCUUUAAAAUGACUUUCUUUGCAAGUUUCAUGAGCAUGUUGAUAAACAAAGGUCUCUAGGAAGUCCAAAUGUUUUUUCGCUGACUACCGCCUGGCUUCUAGUUCUCUUUCAAUCUUUUAUUUUUAGUCUCCUUUGCAUUUAAGUUUGAGACAAUAAGAUCCUGAGGAGCUUGACUGUGGCCUGGGCCUGGGGAUACUUCAGGAUUGUGAACUCAGGGAAUCUGAGGCAGGAAUUAAAAGGUACAUGAACACAAAUAGGAACACAUCUUCUCAAGAACUUAGGCUUUUUUUUUUUUUUUGGAUAGGCCUCAGCCUCUUUAGUAGCUGGGACCACAGGUGCACCACCAUGCCCAGCUAUUUUUUUUUUUUAAUUUUUUGAGACAGGGUCUCCCUAUGUUGCCCAGGCUGGUCUUGAACUCCUAGGCUCAAGCAAUCCUCCCACCUCAGCUUCCCAAAGUGCUGGGAUUACAGGCAUGACUCACUAUACCUGGCAAUUUAUGCAGGAAUCUUUUUUUUUUUUGUAAUCUCUCUGUGAAUUCAUUAUAACACCAUUUUACUGUAUAUUUAACAAAUAAAGCUAUCCAAGAAAACAAAUAAACAACAACAAGAACAACAAGAAAAACAAGGAAUUCAGUAAUUUACUACUAACUCAACAUUCACCAAGCCUCAUGUAAUACUUAUCUAAGGUAGCCAAACUACUGUUUUCUAUGAGAAAUCUUAGAAUUUACAGCAAUUUAUGAUCAGGACUGAUGUCUGAGCUCUUGAAACAAAAUUGAGAGCUGGGGUGUCCAGGAACCCAAAGAGAGGUGCUAUCUGUUUUGUGUUUUGAUUUGAUUUGUUUUGCCCCUCAUUUCUCAAGGAAGCCUUUCUGUGAUCUAUAGCCUUUGCAAAGAAGAAGAGUUGUAUGGAAGGGCCAGCUUUGGGGUCCUUAGAUGAAUUAUUUGGGAGCAUUGCCUAACACUACUUUUACUGACAUUCAGCCAGGUCAAGGCCAUGGCUCCAAAUAAGGAAAAAAUAAAAGGCUACUGUCCAGCUGGGUCAGUGGCUGGUAUCUUAGCUACUUGCACCAAAGCUCUGGUAUAAAUAUUUGAUUGUUUCUCUCUAGAUUUUUUGGUUACAUUUCUGGAGAAAACAGAAAAGCUACAGUAUACAUGCCUGUGUUUACACACACACACACACACACACACACACACACACACACACCCACAAUCACACAACAGUAAACAUUCAUUGGAGGUGGAAUUCUGGUUUAAGGAUCAACUCUGCCCCAGAUUGUAUAAAAAUAAUAGUAGCAUAAUCUUUUAAACCACUGUUUUGAUCCCUAGCUUAUUUUUACUUUAUUAGUUAAAUAAUUAAUAUUCACGUUAAGCCAACGACUUAUCAG